CUGCAAUUCCUGCGCCCAGGGCAGGGCUGGAGGGGGCCCUGGGCUCUCUCUGCAGGAGCUGUUUCACACUUGGGCUCCCCACAUACUCGGGACACGUGGUGCUUCAAGUCUCCGUGUUCACGCCUGCACGUGAGUGCGCUGUGCGCUGGGAGAGGCUUCACAGAAAUGCGUCCAGGCCUGAGCUAAACGUGGCUGCCCCUGGCCCCUGGGGGAGCUUGGCCCCGGCCCAGCGUCUGUCCUUCACUGAACACAGUGGGCCGUGCCCAGAUCGCGGAAUAAGAGGCCACAGGAGAGAUGCAGGACAUCCGACUGGUCCAGCCACCUCCUUGCAUGUGGGGCAGAUGUGGAAAUUUCAUCAGGGAGAAAAGAAAUCACUUGCUCCAAAACCCCGCGUCCAGAAUUCUGUUUCCCUGGAAAUACGCCCAGGAUGGGGAUUUUCACACCUAUGGGAAGUUGCAUUGUUGGGCAUCAUUGUCCUAAUUCUUCACCCUCCCUUCCCUGGAUCCUUGGCCUUUGUCACGUGACUUUGUAUGUUUCCCCUCUAGAUGUGGAGUCUCUUGUCUCGUUGAGGUUGGAUUUGGUUAUGUGAUUUGCUCUGCCUGAUGGGAUGUGGGCAGAGGGUUGAAUGUGCUUGCCCAGCUGGUCCUGACCUCCUGUGCUCCACCUUCUCUAUGAGAAGAAUAUGCCUCUGGUGUCACUGGUCCUGGGAAGAUGAGAGACUCGUGGACAGACCCGGACUCGACCCUUAGCUUGAAACCAAGUAAAGCCAGGCCCGGCCUGGAUGUGA